GAUGAACGCUGGCGGCGUGCCUAAUACAUGCAAGUCGAACGCUGAAGCUUGGUGCUUGCACCGAGCGGAUGAGUUGCGAACGGGUGAGUAACGCGUAGGUAACCUGCCUCUUAGCGGGGGAUAACUACUGGAAACGAUAGCUAAUACCGCAUAAAAGUCGAUAUCGCAUGAUAUUGAUUUGAAAGGUGCAAAUGCAUCACUAAGAGAUGGACCUGCGUUGUAUUAGCUAGUUGGUGAGGUAACGGCUCACCAAGGCGACGAUACAUAGCCGACCUGAGAGGGUGAUCGGCCACACUGGGACUGAGACACGGCCCAGACUCCUACGGGAGGCAGCAGUAGGGAAUCUUCGGCAAUGGGGGCAACCCUGACCGAGCAACGCCGCGUGAGUGAAGAAGGUUUUCGGAUCGUAAAGCUCUGUUGUAAGAGAAGAACGAGUGUGAGAGUGGAAAGUUCACACUGUGACGGUAACUGACCAGAAAGGGACGGCUAACUACGUG
rnacentral:rRNA from 1 species